rnacentral:lncRNA from 1 species
CAAAAGCUUCUAAAAUCAAGAAGAAGAAAAAGCUUUUUCAGAGUCAUUCCAGGAUCCCAUGGAGUUGUGACUAGAUAAGACACUUGGCUGCUCUGAGACGAAAAUGUCUUACGGAUUGGCAGAUAAGGAAGAGCUCUGACUGCCUGUCCCUAGUCAUGGAAGGGAGUGAUAAGCAGACAUAGAAGUAAGGACCUGCAAGAGGAACACACCUUCACACUCCUAUAAGGGAAUUUAUCAGAUAAAAGCAAGAGAUUCAGCAUCACUAAGAGCAAAAAUGUGUGAAAGACUAUGAAAAGGAAUAAAGUGGGAGCUUGCAUCUUUAGUGUCCAAAGUACAAGCCCUGUUGCCUGGAAUUCUUCAUUAUACAAACAAAGAACCAACUCUUGCAAGUUGACCUCUGACUUCCAUAUAGUGGCCGUGCCAUGUGCAUCCCUACCAGGGCCACAGUAUCCACUUCUUUGCAUGUGAGCCAGCAACCCACGUGACUUACAUCUCUACAGGGAAAAACACCUAUACCACUUAAUUCUCAAGGUU